rnacentral:lncRNA from 1 species
GUAUGGAGCCCCUUCUCCCAAUAUCUGUAUCUUACAGAUUUGGUGCAUAGACGCUUAAAAGGAGUUGGUCUUUCGCAACCAGCAAUCUUUAGGAAAAAUGAUUGAAUUUUUCUCCUUUUAGCUGGGCUUACAAAAUGGAGCAAAACAUAGUGAUUGUGCUAUGGACCUUUUAUGGACAGGGACUUGGCAGAGCCACUCACUGGAUGCUUUUGAUCUGCUGGUUGUACCUGGAUUAUUAGUUGCGAGCUGCACGCUGCCUUCCCUGGGCCAUUCCGUAGCCCUGGGGCUGGAGGGCAGUUAGAAUCUUUGGUUGAAUCUUCGGUUACAUUGGAGGAGCUGCCCAGUCUUUGUGGGCUCCCUUCAGUCAUGGGCUUGGCUUGUGUUGUCUUACUCUACACUGUUUAGUGUAAAUGGAUUCUCACUAAGUCAGCUUCAGCUUUUAAGAGCAUGAUGGGGUGGAGAUAUCUGGGAACGUAUGGGCCAUCAGAAAAGCAUUUUUUUAUACUCAAGUCAUGAAGGUGGAUUUCUUCUGUGUAAGGAGGUGCACCAAGUCAGUGUAGGUGCAAGACUGCCCUUGUAAAGAAGCAGAGUAUGUGAAUUCCUUGUGAGUGGGUCUUAAUCUUUAAUGCUUUAAUGACUUUUGGUUUGCCUGAUUUUUUUUAAUAUAAGAAGUUUGUAAUUGCCAAGCAUGCUUUUCUGUGAAGAGCUAAGUCUCAAAAUUCCCCAUUCACGUUCUUUUCCUUUCCUCAGUAAUGUGUUUUUCUGUGCUAGGUUAUGAGUCUACCCUGCACCUUGUCACAGCUCAGUGAUUGUCCAGGGAUUCAGCUGUGACUCACAUGCUUUGCCUUUUACUUGCUCCAGGGUUUCCAUGCAUUGAAGGCUUCCUGGUGCCCUCUCAGUGGAAUUGCUUCUGGCCUGGCAGUUUGAUCCUGAGGGUGACCCAAAUGUUUCUCCCCUUGGCUCCAUAAUUUAAGAUGCCAGUGAUGACUAUUGUCUUUCUUCUCUUCAUUCUUGUCUUUCUCAUGACUAUUAUUAUUAUACAUACAGGUUUUUUUCUUCAUUUGCCUUUCAACAAGCUUGUAAUUAGAACUCAUUGUGUUUUGGAUGCUAGGUCCUGGGAAACCACUGAAUGGCUUGGGAAAUGCUUUGCUCUAGAGGGCAGGUACUUGGGCUAGGGGCUAUGUGCAUGGAAACAGGCUCUCACACGCUAAUGGGAGAGAUACCUGAUGAGUGGGGACUGUGACACAGAAAUGUAGCUCAUAGUAUCAUCGCUGCCUGCACAGAAAAGUACAUCAUACUUUUCCUACAGAGGACCUCAUGGAAGCAUGAUCCUAAAUGCGCUGGGUGGGCAGGAAGGGGCCUACUGGAGGCAGGGGGAAGAACAUUCUAGAACAAGGAAAUGGCAUUUACAAAAAUAUGCAAGAAUGAGAGAGAGCAUGACUUACACAGGGAAUACCAGGCUGGUGUGGCUGAGGGUGGGUGGCCAGGGGAGGGGUGAGGGAAGCUGCAGGGUGCCACGAUGAAGGACCUAGUAUGUGAUGCUGAGGAACUUGGGCAGUGUCCGGAAGGUGGUGAGAACCGGGGUAAGAUCUUAUUUACAUUGUGGAAGAGUUGCUCUGCCUGCACAGUGCAAGGUGGACUAGAGUAGGGUAAGACCACGGCCGGGUAAUCAGGGAGGAGAUUACCAAGAGGGAGAAGACACAAAGUCUGGUGGCCAAUCAGCUGCAGAGAGUGAUGGGGACAGGCGAGGAUGAAGUGGAGCUCUGAAACAGGAGCCAGAGACUCCCAAAGUCCGCAAAAAGAGCACACUUUGAAUGGCACAGACCCUUUUCCUUCCACUCACCCUCCCACAUUCAAGACUGUGAUGACCUAGGCUCAAGCCAAAAGUAUACAGAAAAGGGCCUAGGCUUUCCCAAUCUGCUCUUUCUCCUGAAAUAUAUAUGGUUCAGGAAUAGUAUUAGUACUGCUGUGAAAUAGCAAAAAGUGGUUGGCUCGAUUAUGUGGUUCAGAAAUCAUCAUGAACAAGCAGGGUGUGCAGAAAUUGGAAAAAGAAAACAACAAAAACAAACAUCUUCAAAAAAUGCUGAAGAAAAAAAUUAGUGUAGAGACAUAUAAAAGAUAGACCCCUAGAAAAGUCAACAAUAGGCCUGGUGCAGUGGCUUACACCUGUAAUCCCAGCACUUUUGGUGGCUGAGGCUCAUCUGAGGUCAAGAUUUCAAGACCAGCCUGGCCAACAUGGAAAAACCUCAUCUGUCUAAAAAUUUGAAAAUUAGCCAGGCAUGGUGGCACA